UCGCCACCAUGGCAUCGCCAUUGCCACCAUGGCAUUGUCAUUGUCACCAUGGCAUUGUCAUUGUCACCACGGCAUCGCCACUGUCACCAUGGCAUUGUCAUCGUUACCACAGCAUCGCAAUUGUCACCACAGCAUGUUGUCAUUGUCACCACAGCAUUGCCAUUGUCACCACAGCAUUGCCAUUGUCACCAUGGCAUCGCCACUGUCACCACGGCAUCGUCAUUGUCACCGCAGCAUCGCAAUUGUCACCACAGCAUUGUCAUCGCCACCAUGGCAUCGCCAUUGCCACCAUGGCAUUGUCAUUGUCACCACAGCAUGUUGUCAUUGUCACCACGGCAUCGCCAUUGUCACCACAGCAUCGCAAUUGUCACCAUGGCAUCGCCAUUGCCACCACAGCAUGUUGUCAUUGUCACCACAGCAUUGCCAUUGUCACCACAGCAUUGCCAUUGUCACCACAGCAUAUCACCGCUGUCACCACAGCACUGCCAUUGUCACCACAUCAUCUCCAUUGUCACCACGGCAUUGCCAUCGCCACCACAGCAUCGACAUUGUCACCAUGGCAUUAUCAUUGUCACCACAGCACUGCCAUUGUCACCACAGCAUGUUGUCAUUGUCACCACUGCAUUGUCACCACAGCAUAGCACUGUUGUCACCACGGCAUCGCCAUCGCCACCACAGCAUAUCACCGCUGUCACCACAACACUGCCAUUGUCACCACGGCAUUGCCAUUGUCACCACAGCAUUGCCAUCGUCACCAUGGCAUCGUCAUUGUCACCACAGCAUGUUGUCAUUGUCACCACAGCAUUGUCAUUGUCACCACAGCAUUGCCAUUGUCACCACAGCAUAUCACCGCUGUCACCACAGCACUGCCAUUGUCACCACAGCACUGCCAUUGUCACCACAUCAUCUCCAUUGUCACCAUGGCAUCGCCAUCGUCACCAUGGCAUCGUCAUCAUCACCACAGCCCUGCCACAGGGACGGGAGGACACGGAGUGGCGGGAAGGGCGGAGCGGGGGAGCAGCCACAGCCACGGCGCGCCGGGAGCCCGUCCCACAACUCCCGCGGACGUCCGGCCCCUCCGCCGAGCGCCCGAAGCUCCGAGAUGUCCCUCAAAGCCACAUCCAGCUCCUCGGCCGCGUCACCCGCCCCGUCCCCAGCCCCGGCCACGCUCGGCU
rnacentral:lncRNA from 1 species